GGCUCAGUGGUAGAGUGUUUGUUUAGCACACACAAGGCUCUGGGUUCAAUUCCCAG
rnacentral:tRNA from 1 species